rnacentral:tRNA from 1 species
GCCGCGGUGGCGGAACUGGUAUACGCGCGGGACUCAAAAUCCCGUGGGGGCAACCUCGUGAGGGUUCGAUUCCCUCCCGCGGCACCA